rnacentral:rRNA from 1 species
AGUGAACGCUGGCGGUAGGCCUAACACAUGCAAGUCGAACGGCAGCACAGUAAGAGCUUGCUCUUACGGGUGGCGAGUGGCGGACGGGUGAGGAAUACAUCGGAAUCUACUUUUUCGUGGGGGAUAACGUAGGGAAACUUACGCUAAUACCGCAUACGACCUACGGGUGAAAGCAGGGGAUCUUCGGACCUUGCGCGAUUGAAUGAGCCGAUGUCGGAUUAGCUAGUUGGCGGGGUAAAGGCCCACCAAGGCGACGAUCCGUAGCUGGUCUGAGAGGAUGAUCAGCCACACUGGAACUGAGACACGGUCCAGACUCCUACGGGAGGCAGCAGUGGGGAAUAUUGGACAAAGGGCGCAAGCCUGAUCCAGCCAUACCGCGCGGGUGAAGAAGGCCUUCGGGUUGUAAAGCCCUUUUGUUGGGAAAGAAAAGCAGCAGGUUAAUACCCCGCUGUUCUGACGGUACCCAAAGAAUAAGCACCGGCUAACUUCGUG